rnacentral:rRNA from 1 species
GCCCGAUGUCUGAUUAGCUAGUUGGUGAGGUAAAGGCUCACCAAGGCGACGAUGAGUAGCUGACCUGAGAGGAUGAUCAGCCACACUGGGACUGAGACACGGCCCAGACUCUACGGGAGGCAGCAGUGGGGAAUUUUGGACAAUGGGCGAAAGUCUGAUCCAGCAAUGCCGCGUGUGUGAAGAAGGCUUUCGGGUUGUAAAGCUCUUUUGUCCGGAAAGAACUGGCUCUGUUUAAUUCCGGGGGUAGAUGACGGUACCGGAAGAAUAAGGACCGGCUAAAUACGUGCCAGCAGCCGCGGUAAUACGUAGGGUGCCAGCGUUAAUCGGAAUUUAUGGGCGUAAAGCGUGCGCAGGCGGUUGUGCAAGACCGGUGUGAAAUCCCCGAGCUUAACUUGGGAAUUGCACUGGUGAAUGCACGGCUAGAGUGUGUCAGAGGGGGGUAGAAUUUCACGUGUAGCAGUGAAAUGCGUAGAGAUGUGGAGGAAUACCGAUGGCGAAGGCAGCCCCUUGGGAUAACAAUGACGCUCAUGCAGGAAAGCGUGGGGAGCAAACCGGAUUAGAUUCCCUGGUAGUUCCCGCCCUUAACGAUGUCAAGUUGUUGUUGGGGAUUCAUUUCCUUAGUAACGUAGCUAACGCGUGAAUUUGACCUCCUGGGGAGUACGGUCGCAAGAUUAAAACUCAAAGGAAUUGACGGGGACCCGCACAACCGGUGGAUGAUGUGGAUUAAUUCGAUGCAACGCGAAAAACCUUACCUACCCUUGACAACCACUAACGAAGCAGAGAUGCUUUGGGUUCUCCAAAGAGAAAGGGACACAGG